GACGAACGCUGGCGGCGUGCCUAAUACAUGCAAGUCGAGCGAAGUUUUUCUGGUGCUUGCACUAGAAAAACUUAGCGGCGAACGGGUGAGUAACACGUAAAGAACCUGCCUCAUAGACUGGGACAACUAUUGGAAACGAUAGCUAAUACCGGAUAACAGUAUUUCUCGCAUGAGAGAUAUUUAAAAGUUGGUUAUGCUAACACUAUGAGAUGGCUUUGCGUUGCAUUAGCUAGUUGGUGGGGUAAAGGCCCACCAAGGCGACGAUGCAUAGCCGACCUGAGAGGGUGAUCGGCCACACUGGGACUGAGACACGGACCAGACUCCUACGGGAGGCAGCAGAAGGGAAUCUUACGCAAUGGGCGAAAGCCUGACGGAGCAACGCCGCGUGAGUGAAGAAGGAUUUCGGUUCGUAAAGCUCUGUUGUUAGGGAAGAAUGGAUAUGUAGUAACUAUACAUGUAAGAGACGGUACCUAACCAGAAAGCCACGGCUAACUACGUG
rnacentral:rRNA from 1 species